CAACCACGGGUCAAUGUGUGUGUGAGUGUUUAGUAGCAUAACUAGCAAAGGUUAGGUAAGCAGAAACAUUUGUGGAGUACUGCUGUCUGCAGCUCGUUCCUCAAAAAGGCACCAAGAAAAUGUUUUAUAAUAGAAGAAUAACAAAGUUUCAAAUAUUUAUUGUAUCGGCUCUUGGAUUCAUGGGUGGAAUAUAUAUAUGGAAACCAUUGUUGGAAGAACAAGCUAAUAAGCAACAAGAAUUAGCCCUAAGUAAAGCCAAUGCUGUUAGCGUAGAGAGUUCUUAGAUUUUGUCAUUAUGUUUUGCGAUUUUAUACUUAAAAUACAAGACAAGCGUGAAAAAACGAUUGGGAUUUUCUCAAAUAUAUUGUCUUGCAAAGAAUCGCAUGUAAAUCACACAUACUUAUACAUAUCUGCAAGACGAUGCCAUGCUUUUGUUUAAAGCUCCUAGCAGUCAACAUUCAAAAUUAGAGUAUAGCCUUUAAUAAAAUAUCUUUGUAUAUCGGAGCACUUCAUCAUGCAUACUGUUAUGUCGCUUUGCAAUUUUUAGAAUUUAUCAUAGUACGCUCACAAUGGAUGUUUUGAGAUCGUAUUCCCUGCAGUUUUAUACAAUAUACACGCAUAUGUACAUAUGUAAAUUUGAAUUAUAAAUUAAAAAAUAAAGUUAUGUGGUUAUUAAAA